UGGUACUCUGGUGAAAACCCCUCAUGGAGUACUAGCACUGCUGCCAUAGACGUCAUCUGUCGUAGUUUUCCCCAUUAUCCAGUGUGACCUCACAGAAAAAUAAUGUCUACUGACUUUGGACGGUGUACAACUCCGGACAAGGGAGUAUUUCUUCAUUUUCUGAAUUGCCUGUUCCAACGUGUGGCUAACGAAGCAGAUGUUCAUUGGCACUCAUUGGCUAUGUGCAGAUGCCUUCGUGUACAGUAGUUUCACAUUUGCACUGUUUCUUCCGUUAGUACUAGUCUGGCUAGUGUUGUAGAAGGCCUUGAUGUUUUUGAGAAGCUGGCAGCGAACCUGUACUAGUACUCCUUGGUCUCCAACGAGAGUUUUUUCCGUCAAACCCCAUUUUUGCUGCUAAGUGGUGUAUUGGCCAGCAGCUCCUCGCAGUAAAUAAAUGAUCCAAGUUUGAAUCUGUCUGCCCUCAUUUUGUAGAACAGAUCAUCUAGGGCAGCUCCGGGCUUCUUCAAAUUUACUUGCCAGUAAAUCUCCAAGCGAGCAUGCAGAGACUCCAAUGGUACAGCGGGUUGAGGCUUUGGCCACAGAGACGGCGGAGGCCGGCACAGGAGGCUCAAGAUGGCGGGGGGCAAGCGACGACAACGGCCCAAGGCGCUGCAAUGGAGGACGCGCGAGUCGACCGGUGCUUCGGAGACGACGAGCACGCGGGAGACGACCAGCGUCUCGAGCGAGGGCCCCGGCUUGAGGUGGAUUUCUGUAAAAACAAGCUCAAAUCACGCGUCGUGGCCGCUGCGUCAGCGGAGAAGGAGAUCGAUGGCUUGAGGAGCAGAGGUAUGGCCGGCCUGUGGCGCAGCCGUUGAUUAUCGCGGGGGAGGCGGCAGGGUCGGCCCGAGGUGAGGCGGGCGCGAGGUCAAGGCGACGAAGGCCGGGACGGCUCGACAAUGAAGAAGACGAUAACUUGAGGCGGAGCAGCAAGGGGGCGAAGUGACCCAGAACAGGGGUGACUCAAAGUAGGAGAGGCGAGGCCAGCUCGGUGGCGAGGCAGGCCGGCGCGACGACUCACCACAGAGCUAAGACGGUCGGCGGCUUGACCACGGCGGAGUUGACGCACGGCGAGGCGACUUAAUGGCGCCAGCCCGCGGCAUCCGCGUCUCAAGACCGCAGAGGCCAGGUUGCGGCGGCGACGGCGGGUCACAAAGCAGGUCGCAGGAGGAACCCGAGCCUGUGGACCAUCCGUGUCCGGGUCAUGUACUACAUCUGAGUUGAAUCCGGCUUGGCGCAGCAACAUUGAUCCGUACAUGACUUGUCCCAUUGAUUCACUUUUGCUUGAAAAGACGUUUUCUAA